AUUGAACGCUGGCGGCAGGCCUAACACAUGCAAGUCGAACGGUAACAGGAAGCAGCUUGCUGCUUCGCUUACGAGUGGCGGACGGGUGAGUAAUGUCUGGGAAACUGCCUGAUGGAGGGGGAUAACUACUGGAAACGGUAGCUAAUACCGCAUAACGUCGCAAGAGCAAAGAGGGGGACCUUAGGGCCUCUUGCCAUCGGAUGUGCCCAGAUGGGAUUAGCUAGUAGGUGGGGUAACGGCUCACCUAGGCGACGAUCCCUAGCUGGUCUGAGAGGAUGACCAGCCACACUGGAACUGAGACACGGUCCAGACUCCUACGGGAGGCAGCAGUGGGGAAUAUUGCACAAUGGGCGCAAGCCUGAUGCAGCCAUGCCGCGUGUAUGAAGAAGGCCUUCGGGUUGUAAAGUACUUUCAGCGGGGAGGAAGGGAGUAAAGUUAAUACCUUUGCUCAUUGACGUUACCCGCAGAAGAAGCACCGGCUAACUCCGUG
rnacentral:rRNA from 1 species